rnacentral:lncRNA from 1 species
AGCAACCCUUCUACACAGGCAUAAACCCAACUCAUUUCCUCUGGGGUCUGAUUUCAGCUGGAGUUGGAACCUGUCAGGACAAGGAACAAGACAACCAGGACAGGAGCAAUGAAACAGAGCUGAGAGCUGAGAUACUCAUGAAUAAAUGAAGUAUACAGGCUUCCCACUGGAGUGAACAGAGCUUAUGGAUGCACUUGAGUGCUUUGCUGAAGCAGGGCCAGCCUGGGUGAAAACAUCUCACCCAGGAGCCAGUCUCACCUUCUCUGGAGAUAUUUUCAAGACACAGAAGAGGAAUUUGAUCCAGAUCCCUCCUGCACAUUCCACCACACACCUUGGGUCUGAGCUCCAAACCACUGAGGGCAGCUGGAUGACUCCACUGCAGUUCAGGGCCCUGAGGAACACCACUGGUGACUGAAGAAUAAAAUCAGAGUCACAUAAAUUAUAAAAUCA